CCCUUAGAUGUUCUGGGCUGCACGCGCGCUACACUGAUGCGAUCAACAAGUUUUUCCUAUGUCGGUAGACACGGGUAAUCUUUUGAACUCGCAUCGUGAUGGGGAUAGAUUAUUGUAAUUAUUAAUCUUCAACGAGGAAUUCCUAGUAGGUGCAAAUCAUCAGUUUGCAUCGAUUACGUCCCUGCCCUUUGUACACACCGCCCGUCGCUGCUACCGAUUGGUUGAUCUGGUGAAUUAUUCGGACUGCCGGCUGAAGGGGUUUCCUCAUCUGCCAGCGGAAAGUCUUGUUAACCCUAUCAACUAGAGGAAGCAGAAGUCGUAACA
rnacentral:rRNA from 1 species